UACGUAGGCGGCAAGCGUUAUCCGGAUUUAUUGGGCGUAAAGAGAACGCAGGCGGUCUUUUAAGUCUGAUGUGAAAGCCUUCGGCUUAACCGGAGUAGUGCAUUGGAAACUGGGAGACUUGAGUGCAGAAGAGGAGAGUGGAACUCCAUGUGUAGCGGUGAAAUGCGUAGAUAUAUGGAAGAACACCAGUGGCGAAAGCGGCUCUCUGGUCUGUAACUGACGCUGAGGUUCGAAAGCGUGGGUAGCAAACAGG
rnacentral:rRNA from 1 species